AUAAAGAUAAGCUAAAAUAAUAAGCUUUAUAACUCAUAAUUAUAAUAUAGAUUUAAUUCUUCUUUAUA
rnacentral:tRNA from 1 species